AGUGAACGCUGGCGGUAUGCCUAACACAUGCAAGUCGAACGGCAGCACAGUAACAGCUUGCUCUUACGGGUGGCGAGUGGCGGACGGGUGAGGAAUACAUCGGAAUCUACUUUUUCGUGGGUGAUAACGUAGGGAAACUUACGCUAAUACCGCAUACGACCUACGGGUGAAAGCAUGGGAUCUUCGGACCUCGCGCGAUUGAAUGAGCCGAUGUCGGAUUAGCUAGUUGGCGGGGUAAAGGCCCACCAAGGCGACGAUCCGUAGCUGGUCUGAGAGGAUGAUCAGCCACACUGGAACUGAGACACGGUCCAGACUCCUACGGGAGGCAGCAGUGGGGAAUAUUGGACAAUGGGCGCAAGCCUGAUCCAGCCAUACCGCGUGGGUGAAGAAGGCCUUCGGGUUGUAAAGCCCUUUUGUUGGGAAAGAAAAGCAGCAGGUUAAUACCCCGCUGUUCUGACGGUACCCAAAGAAUAAGCACCGGCUAACUUCGUG
rnacentral:rRNA from 1 species